rnacentral:rRNA from 1 species
CCUACGGGGGGCAGCAGUAGGGAAUCUUCGGCAAUGGGGGGAACCCUGACCGAGCAACGCCGCGUGAGUGAAGAAGGUUUUCGGAUCGUAAAGCUCUGUUGUUAAGGAAGAACGAGUGUGAGAAUGGAAAGUUCAUGCUGUGACGGUACUUAACCAGAAAGGGACGGCUAACUACGUGCCAGCAGCCGCGGUAAUACGUAGGUCCCGAGCGUUGUCCGGAUUUAUUGGGCGUAAAGCGAGCGCAGGCGGUUAGAAAAGUCUGAAGUGAAAGGCAGUGGCUCAACCAUUGUAGGCUUUGGAAACUGUUUAACUUGAGUGCAGAAGGGGAGAGUGGAAUUCCAUGUGUAGCGGUGAAAUGCGUAGAUAUAUGGAGGAACACCGGUGGCGAAAGCGGCUCUCUGGUCUGUAACUGACGCUGAGGCUCGAAAGCGUGGGGAGCGAACAGGAUUAGAUACCCGUGUAGUC